UCGAUACCUGCAAAGCAAACCCGCGAACACGUUCUCAACACGCUAGGGAUCGCGCCGUUGGAUGCCCUUGUGCAUUCCUCGUMGCGCUCCCUUCCCGACGACUCGCGCUCGCGUGGGCCGUUCGGGUUAACGAACAAUUCGGCGCGGCAUGCGCCAAGGAAAACUAUCACGAGAACGCUUGCUCUCGCGAGGCAUCGUUCGCGGUGCAUUGCGGGCGGCGCGCGCCUCUUGAAUCACUAAAUGACUCUCGGCAACGGAUAUCUCGGCUCUCGCAUCGAUGAAGAACGUAGCGAAAUGCGAUACUUGGUGUGAAUUGCAGAAUCCCGUGAACCAUCGAGUCUUUGAACGCAAGUUGCGCCCGAAGCCAUUAGGUCGAGGGCACGCCUGCCUGGGCGUCACGCAUCGCGUCGCCCCCUCCCGCCCCUUUCCUUUGCGAAGUCGGGUGGAUCCGAGGGGACGGAUACUGGCCUCCCGUGCUCUCACUGCGCGGCCGGCUUAAAUUUGAUUCCUUGUCGAUGGAUGUCACGACUAGUGGUGGUUGAAACAAUCGCGCGACGUCGUGCGAGACCCCGUCGACAUCGAUAUUGACCCAAUAGUGCCAUGCGCUUUCGACC
rnacentral:rRNA from 1 species